UAAAAUGUCCUAUUUGUUUAAUCUGCUCUGUUUCAGGUUUUCUGUUAUUGGCAGCUAAAAGCAUCUUAAUUGACACAAUCAUCAACGUUUUCUGAACUCACAUUUCUCAUAAUGUUAUUAGGUGUGUGGCAAAGAAAGAAAGCAUAUAUACCCAUUUAUGUUUUAGAAACACUACGUUCGACAGUGUUAGACAUGUAUUUUUACGGCAGGAUUGCUUGGGGACCUUACACUGGGAACCUCCGAGUGAGGAACCUAACGUGUAUCGUGUUUUAUAACUACUUUGACCAAGCUAACAUCUCUCUGGAUAGUUAUCCGUGGACACCUACUGGAAAACAUUGUACUAGAUGCCAAAGUAAUAUAGUCCAAAGAUCUUUAAAGAUCUGGCUUAUCCAGGAAUAGAAUUCAAGUUAUUUUGUGGGAACCAGCUCUUAUAUUGGAGAAGGAAUUUGAAAGGGCAGGUUCCUAAUUCUUGAUCCAAGUAAGACCAUUUUCACUAGCACUCUUUUUAGCACUGUGAGCUUUGCACCUUUAUUAGAAAUCAUCAUUAGGUUCUGAUACAACAGACUCUGAUUCUCAGUAUCUUUGAAACCAGGUAGACGUAUGUAGAGGCCUUCCUGGUGGCAGAACCCGCAGUGUGGCCCUUGCUUACUGGUGAUUAGUGAAGAAAAACCAUGGAAAUAUACUGUGGCUUCCCAGGCCAUCCAUGAGUAGAGAGAGAAAGAAACAAGCCCCAGCAUUUGAUGACUGGCAAAGCUAAGGAGUGCAGAAACAGAGACAGGGCAGUCAGGCAGAGAAUAAAACAUAACGUAAUAAAUCAGCCCCAAGGACUCCCAGUUCUCUCUCAAAGGCAAAGAUAAGGUCUAAUGCAGUCAGUUUUUCUGCAGAAACCAUACCCCAACCAGACAGAGAGUGGUGAUAAGCAUGGAGUCCCCCAGUUGGCUGGAGCCUGAAAAUUGAUAAUGUUAACCCCUGUGACCUCAUCUGGCUACCUUACCACCCACCAUCAGAAAAUUGUACAGGAGCUGAUCACGUUCCCCACAACCGUCUCCCUCACUUUGUCUUUCUCAAUAGCCAUUGGGGAGUUUGGGUCUUUUGAGCAUUAGCUGCCUCUGCUCCUUGCUGGGUUCCUUGCAAGAAACACUGUACUUUCCUUCACCACGAUUUGGUGUCAAUAGAUUGGCUUUGCUGUGCGUCAAGCCAGCAGACCCAAGUUUGGUUUGGCAACACCUCGAAGGUGUUUUCUUGAUUGGAAGUCAUUAGUAUGGCUUUCUGCUGAGGACUCUUAGCUGGCCAUGCCUUGCUUGGCUUCCAGAACCAGCAGUCUGCACUCUCACUGCUCCUUCAUCUCUAUCAAUUUAACUCAUUUGUAAUAUAUUCCUCACCUAAAGGCAAAGGCCUUAUAUUAGCUAUCUCCCCAGAAACACAACCAGUAGUAUACAGAUAUAUAUAUAUAAGAGGAGACUUAUUAUAGAAAAUGGCUCAUGUGAUUUUGGUUGCUGAGAGCCUCCACCAUCUGCAUCUGUGAGCUGAAGAACGAGGAAAGCUCAUGGUAUAAUUCCAGUCCACAUCUGAAGGCCUGAAAACCAGAGGAGCUAAUAGUAUAAAUCCCAGUCCAAGUCUGAAGCCCGGAAAACCAGGAGGGUCAAUGUUGAGGGCAGGAGAAGAUGGAUGUCCCAGCUCAAGCAAAGAGAGCAAACUAUCCCUUCCUCUGCCUUUUUGUUUUAUUCAGGCCCUCGACUGAUUAGAUGAUGCUCACCUGCAUUGGUAAGGGUAAUUUUUACUCAAUCUACCAAUUCAAAUGCUAAUCUCUUCCCGAAACAUCCUCAUAGACACACCCAGAAAUAAUGUUUUACUGGCUAUCUGGGCAUCCCUUAACCCUGUCAAGUUGACACAUGAAAUUAACCACCAUGGGUCUUCCCAUAUCUUCUGAAUUCUUUCUUAUUCAUCAAAGCCUUCCUAUAAGAAUAGAGAAGUUCCAACAUUUUCCCAUAUACAUAGUUUCCUCACUACACACACACACACACACACACACACACACACAUGCACACACACACACACACACACAAUUUCCUAUCAUUAUUAUAUAGAAAAGUAAAAGUUUUACUUACAGAAAGCAAAUAGGUCUUCUAGCUUAUUGAAAUAGAUUAAGUCCUUUCCUCUAAAUAUAUUACUAAGGAAACUGUUCAACAGUCUUUCUAAUGCACAAGGCUAGGUGCAAGUGUAGUCAGCAUCAAAUGAAUAAUCUGUCACAUUUAGGUCCUAUGCCAACUCUAUGCUGUGGUCAACUUUCAGAAUAAGCAAAAAAAGGGAUUGUUUUAUAAUUAGUUGGAAGGAUUCCGCCCUCUGUGGUUCACCACUGGAAUUUAAAUUUAGUGAUUGUAAUACCCCUUUUGAAAGGCCAAAAGAAAGAUAUGUACUAAUUAUACCAAUAUUUCUAGCCCGAUGGUAAAAUGCAAGUGGGUCACCAAUUAAAGAUACAAUUGUAGGUUGUAGAGUCACUCUGGUUAUACUGAAUAGUAAACAAAUGAGUGCAAAAUGAAUGUGGAGAAAAUUAUAAGAUAGUAUUAUUGAACAAAGAAAACAAUAGAUUCCCCAUGUCACAGAAGGCAUAUCACAGACUUAUUUUCCCCUAUAAAUUAAUCAUCAUGAAUAAAUUUAUUAGGCUUUCCUGAUUAUAAUUGAAUUAACUGCCUGUAAAGUCAUACAAAAUCAAAUUUUAGAGAUGAAACAUUGAGAUUUAUUUGUUUCUUCCUUUGAAAGAUGUUGUUAGCCCAAUUUAUUAAGAACGUGAUUGGUUUUUUUAAUUGGGAUUUGCACAAAAAGUCUUCUGAAAUAAGUGAAUAUUUAAGUAAUCACAGACUAAAGACCAUUGAAAACAAGUUAUAAAGGGAGAAAAAGAGCUGUGCCGUUUAUUUAGAGGCCUUUUUGGCCGCUUUAACCUGCACGAACAUCAAUUACUUCUUUCUUUGACAAAACAGCAGUAAUCAGCUGUUUGCUUCUUUGAUUAGUUCUGGUCCUCAUUCAUUAAAUACUAAUGAUUAAGCAUGGGAUACUGCAAAUAAACCUGUCUCCUUUCUUCCCAGAAAUAGAAUAAUCACAAUGGCCAAUGGCUGGGGCCACUUAUAUCAUUAAAUUUAUACGAGAUUUAAUUACUUUGGCUUUGCCCCCGUGUCCCAAACAACAGGCACAAAUAGUCCCGCAACAUUGUAUCUAAUUAUCAGUUUAAUUUUGGAAGGUCUUUAUGGUAUGUGUUUAUAGAAUGGGUGUGUGUGUCUGUAUAAAAAAUAUCGCCUGUGGGUAUGCCUAUUCAGGGAUAUGUAAGAUAUAAAUUAAAGAAGGAAGAAUGCAGUGUACUAAGCCCCACUGUGAAUCAGGAAUUAUAUUUGGCUCUUUUAUUCAUGCUGUUUUCAUUGAAUCUUCACAACUCUGCAAAUUGAAUACAGUUGGCCCUCUGUAGCCACUGGUUCUGCGUCCAUGGAUGCAACCAACAGCAGUUGGAAAAUAUUUGAAGAAAAAUCCAGAAGUUUCCCCAAAGCAGAAUUUGAAUUUGUGUUGUGACAAUUGUAUUAGGUAUUACAAGUAAUCUAGAGAUGAUUUAAAGUAUACUGGAGGCUGUGCAUAGGUUAUAUGCAUAUAUGACAUUUUUUAUAAGGUCUCAGCCAUCUGCAGAUUGUGCUGUUCUCAGGGUUCCUAGAAUCAAUCCUUCGUGGAUACUGAGGGUUGACUGUAUUAUCUUCAUUUUGUAGGUGAGGAAACUGAGUCUCAAAAAAGUUAGGCAGGGACUUCCCUGGCGGUCCAGUGGUUAAGACUCUGCACUUCCAAUGCAGGGGGCGAGGGUUUGAUUCCUGGUUGGGGAACUAAGAUCCCACAUGCUGCACAGUGGGGCAAAAAAUAAAUAAAUAAAAAGGUUAAGCAGUUUUUCAAAGUUACCUAAUUACCAUAUGUGGGGAUUUGAGCUCAAGUUUACCUGACUUCAAAUGCCUUCUUUGCCCUUUCUAUCACAACAGAUUUGAAUUAAAUUUUCCAGGAUUAAAUUUUACAAAACAGGAGAAAGUGAUUAGAAUCUGUAUUAUUUAAGAAAAUGUUUGGGUUACCUUUUAAUUUAUACAUGCUUGAUUAAAAACUAAAAAUGUAUCAUAAAGUCAGUUAAACUUAGGAUUGAAUCAUCUAAAUGGCAAUAUUUACAGCAUUACAAAAUGUAGUGUUGCUAAAUAGGAAAGAGAGACAUGAAUAAUUCACUAGUGUUUCCUAGUUAGCCAUUUGUACCAUGCCAAUAGGUAUUGUACAGAGUACCUGUAUUCACACACAAUUUGUUAUACGUGGAACAGAAAUUGGUAUAAAAUUUCAUAAUUCUUUAUCUAUAACAUCUGAGAAACCUCUUGUUAAAUAGCCUUCCUAAGAAGACCUUCUUCAGGCAGAAGGGGCUCCGAGGCACCAAAUGCCUGAUUUGUUGAAGCAACCAAAAGAUCUCCAGAGAGAGGAUUUUGUGUUCUUGAAGGCAUUCUUCCGUUUACUUUGCAUCAUGAAAUCUACAAUGUCCUAUCUUUAAAUAACUACCUAACUUCACUGAAACCCUGUCACCUCUAAAAGGAUUCAGAUGAGAUUGCAGAUGGAAGAUUCCCUUCACCGAGGAGAGCCACUAAGGAAACCCCUCCAACGGGGAUAGAAACGGAUAGCUUGGUCAAUGCCAUGUUACUGAAAUGAGUCUGUGAUUCUCCAAGUUUGUUCCACAUGAAGGUCACCUGGAAGGUACAUGUUACAGAACAGUCAUGAUGUUUUGAUUUCUAGAAGGGGGCUUCUGGCCAAUGGGGAUUGAAAAAUAGAAAAAGAAAAUGAGGCUAGAAACUCACCAAGCAUGACUUCAGUUCCUGGGACUGAGUUAUUGUUGAAAUCCUUUAAGAGAGGAAGAUUCCCCACUGACAGUACAAGAAGGAAGUGUAGGGGAAGAGGGAAGAGCAAAAGGCUUUGCUCUAAGAGGCCCAUCGGAUGCUGGUUACAGUGUGUUAUUAGGCAGAAAUAUAGGAGGGCAGGUGGCUUAGAGAGGAGCUGGUCCAUGAAAACAUCUUCAAGGAGGUUUUUUCAGUGAUAAAUUAGAAAGAUUAAGAGCAGGAGAAAAGAAAAAAAGACUUGAAGACAGGGCACAGGAACUAUCAAAACUGAAGCACAGAAAGCAAAAACUGGAGGGAAAAAAGUGGAUGGAGCCUCAGGGACCCAUGGAACAGGUCAAGCAAUCUGUGUGUGUGUGUGUGUGUGUGUGUGCGUGUGUGUGUGUGUAUGUGUAUGUACACAGAGUUCACUCUUUGUGUUGUACAUUCUAUAACAAAUGUAUAAUUACAUAUAUUCACCAUUAUGGUAUCAAUUUGUUAAUGUUGUAAUUAGAGAAAAGGUUAUAAAAACAAAAAUAAUGAUUUUGUAUACACUAUAGUGAUAAGUAUUUCAUAGACUGUAGUGAAAGGCUUUUGCUUAAUUUCACUGAAAGUAGAAUAACUCUGAGAGUUCAUUUCUAUUUAUUGCUUCUACUAAUAAUACCAAUCUUAACCUAGAAGAAUAUCCUCUUUCCCUGUUAGUUUAUGUAUGCAUCCUUUGGGUCUGAGAAGGCAAUUAAUUUCGUCAGGGUCAUUCUUCUCCAAAAUACAGAACAACUGGAAUAUUUUUGCAUCUGUUCAAUUUCACGCCUAUAACUCUGCCAGGUAUCUUUGGGGGAUACCAGGCCUGGGAGGGUCAGGGAAUGCUGUAGAGGAAGUGAUCUUUGAACUGGGACUUAAACAUAGUAAAAGAGAGAAUAGCAUUCAUGCAAACAAUAAUGGUUAAUACAUUAGAAGAUGAUACCAUGUGAAUUCUUGUUUUAAAAAAGAAUAGACCAUUUUAGAUGUUUGAGCAAAAGCUUAAUUGAUAUAAUGCCUUUGAGUUUGGCUGGAAUAAAGUUAAAGAAAAAUACAAAGGAAAAGUAAACUCAGUCAAAAUGUGUAGGAUCACAAUCUGAGUAGAAGUUCUAUGUUGCACAAUAUAGAGACUGCAUAGGGAAGAGAAUGGUGGGAGAUAAGCAUGGAUUGGCAAGGAGGAGGGAGUUGAAAGAUACUCUACUGAAAUAGAAUUGGAUGACACCAAACCCAAGAUGGAGUCAUUCUGCAUUAUUUUAGUGUUUGUUUUUGUUUUGUUUUGUUUUGUUUUUGCGGUACGUGGGCCUCUCACUGUUGUGGCCUCUCCCAUUGAGGAGCGCAGGCUCCAGACGUGCAGGCUCAGCGGCCAUGGCUCACGGGCCCUGCCACUCCACGGCAUGUGGGAUCCUCCCGGACCAGGGCACAAACCCGUGUCCCCUGCAUUGGCAGGCGGACUC